GCAAGUCGAGCGCACCUUCGGGUGAGCGGCGGACGGGUUAGUAACGCGUGGGAACGUACCCUUUUCUACGGAAUAGCCUCGGGAAACUGAGAGUAAUACCGUAUACGCCCUUUUGGGGAAAGAUUUAUCGGAGAAGGAUCGGCCCGCGUUUGAUUAGAUAGUUGGUGGGGUAAUGGCCUACCAAGUCUACGAUCAAUAGCUGGUUUGAGAGGAUGAUC
rnacentral:rRNA from 1 species